GUUCACUUCGGGUUGCGUGGUCGACCAACGACAGCAUGCCACCGUUAUUUAACAGAAUUAUACCAUAUUUUUUUCCAACGUGAACAAGACAGCAUUUUGGAUUAUCUGCAUGAGGUAAAGGGAUGAUUGAGCGACCGACCGAUCGAUGGAGUUCAGAGUCAGACUGACAUCACAUCAGAUGUCUGCCAUUUCUGCUGACCUCGAGAAGACUGGUAACCUGCCUGUGACUCCUCGUUUGAUCCUGCUUGGUGAAAAUCCGGGGCAAUGGAUGAAACGGUGGAUGAUCAGCCUGGAAGGCUGAAUAAUCUCGGUGUGCAGCCAACUUUUCUCACUGGACUUGCUGCAUUGUUCUCUUUGUAUUACAUCUUUAAUCUGCAGUACCAGGAGGAAGCAGCAUCCACACAGGAAUUCCUUCAAAGACGUUUUGUUGGAAUAAAUCCUGAAAAGGGGACCAAGGCUGCCAGAGGAAAAGUUACAUCCAAAAAAACUGUGAAAACGGUGCAAAAGAAAACCAUAACCGUCAACACCAAAGUGUCAAACCUCUUAAAGAGACUUAUGGACUUUGAGUGGGACUUCAUUUUAAAAAAUGUAGUUGACAACCCCACACCCAUGCAGGUUGGUUUUUGAAAAAUGUGCUGGCCUGGUGAGUUGCACUUUGUUUAUACCAAGUUAUUUAGGUAUUAAAAAUGCUGAUGCUUUGUUAAAGCAUGUUGUUUAUUUGAUUAUUUUUAAUAAUUUGUUUGUUUCAGUGCAAUUGUUUUUGGAGUAAUGUUUGAAGCCUGAUUCGAUAUAUUGUUUGUUUUUGUUUGUUUGUUUGCUUUUUCGUAAGCCAUUUUUGUAUUUUGAUAUGUUGAUGGGUGUUUAUUUUUUUAUGUGCACUGAAUAUUACUUGAAUACUUUUACAUUUUUAUCAUAAUAAAAAAAAAAAAAUCCUAACUUGGCU